UGCAGUCGAACGAUGAUCUCACGCUUGCGGGGGUGAUUAGUGGCGAACGGGUGAGUAAUACGUGAGUAACCUGCCCUUGACUCUGGGAUAAGCCUGGGAAACCGGGUCUAAUACUGGAUACGACCCCCUGUCGCAUGGUGGGGGGUGGAAAGGGUUUGACUGGUUUUGGAUGGGCUCACGGCCUAUCAGCUUGUUGGUGGGGUAAUGGCUCACCAAGGCGACGACGGGUAGCCGGCCUGAGAGGGUGACCGGCCACACUGGGACUGAGACACGGCCCAGACUCCUACGGGAGGCAGCAGUGGGGAAUAUUGCACAAUGGGCGGAAGCCUGAUGCAGCGACGCCGCGUGAGGGAUGACGGCCUUCGGGUUGUAAACCUCUUUCAGCAGGGAAGAAGCCACAAGUGACGGUACCUGCAGAAGAAGCGCCGGCUAACUACGUGCCAGCAGCCGCGGUAAUACGUAGGGCGCAAGCGUUGUCCGGAAUUAUUGGGCGUAAAGAGCUCGUAGGCGGUUUGUCGCGUCUGCUGUGAAAGCCCGGGGCUCAACCCCGGGUCUGCAGUGGGUACGGGCAGACUAGAGUGCAGUAGGGGAGACUGGAAUUCCUGGUGUAGCGGUGAAAUGCGCAGAUAUCAGGAGGAACACCGAUGGCGAAGGCAGGUCUCUGGGCUGUUACUGACGCUGAGGAGCGAAAGCAU
rnacentral:rRNA from 1 species